rnacentral:rRNA from 1 species
GCUGGCGGCAUGCCUUACACAUGCAAGUCGAACGGCAGCACGGGUGCUUGCACCUGGUGGCGAGUGGCGAACGGGUGAGUAAUACAUCGGAACAUGUCCUGUAGUGGGGGAUAGCCCGGCGAAAGCCGGAUUAAUACCGCAUACGAUCUAUGGAUGAAAGCGGGGGACCUUCGGGCCUCGCGCUAUAGGGUUGGCCGAUGGCUGAUUAGCUAGUUGGUGGGGUAAAGGCCUACCAAGGCGACGAUCAGUAGCUGGUCUGAGAGGACGACCAGCCACACUGGGACUGAGACACGGCCCAGACUCCUACGGGAGGCAGCAGUGGGGAAUUUUGGACAAUGGGCGAAAGCCUGAUCCAGCAAUGCCGCGUGUGUGAAGAAGGCCUUCGGGUUGUAAAGCACUUUUGUCCGGAAAGAAAUCCUUGGUUCUAAUAUAGCCGGGGGAUGACGGUACCGGAAGAAUAAGCACCGGCUAACUACGUGCCAGCAGCCGCGGUAAUACGUAGGGUGCGAGCGUUAAUCGGAAUUACUGGGCGUAAAGCGUGCGCAGGCGGUUUGCUAAGACCGAUGUGAAAUCCCCGGGCUCAACCUGGGAACUGCAUUGGUGACUGGCAGGCUAGAGUAUGGCAGAGGGGGGUAGAAUUCCACGUGUAGCAGUGAAAUGCGUAGAGAUGUGGAGGAAUACCGAUGGCGAAG